UCUUGCGACACUAGAGCAUAAUGAAUAAUCAACAAAUUAUGAAAGCUCUACAAGGAAGACUUUAUCACAAUAAUAUAUAUUUCUUAGGCUGUCUUCCCGCUGACGAUGUAGCGAAAUUAAAUCUAAGGAGUGAGUCAGACAAGCCCAUUGUCUUUAUUGCUAAUGUGUUAGGCGCAUCGCAAGCUUCGAAAAUGGGUCACUGGGUGGUGUUCUAUGUUAGUGAUAAGUGUAUAUAUUUCUUCGACACAUACGCCCUGACCCCAUCAUUAUAUUCUAAGUACUUUCGAAGUUUCUUAAAUAAGCAUAAAGAUUAUCCUGUUUUUAAACUUGCCGCAAGAUUACAGUCGGACAAAACUCUGGUGUGUGGCGUGUAUUGCAUUCAAUUCGUAUACUUAUGUAAUAAAAUAGGCUUAGAGAGGACUAGUCAGUUUUUGAAAGAUAAUUAUGAUUUAGGAAAUUUUUUGAAGAAUGACAGAAAGGUGUUAACAUAUGCUUAUAGAAUGUUUAAAAUGCCCCCAUGUAUAAAAACAUUUUGUCAAUCUAGUCAAGGACUGACUUACAAGCAUUGUAUUUCUAAGAUAUGUGGCUAACUUAUUAAAUGUUACAUGAUAAUAAUGUGUAUGUGUGUGUAAAAAAUGUAGAGAAGUAGCAUGUAGCUUAUUCAUUUAUGGCGUGUGUGUGUGUGUGCAAUUAUAUGUAGUUAUUAAGAACAGGAUUCUGUUUUUUUUUUCGUGCGACGUGACCGAGUGGGUGUGAGUUUGUUCACGCUUUCCUAUUGUUCGGAAGAAGAAUGGCUUGUGGUUUUGGGCAUGUGCGCGCGUUUGCAUACAUGUGUAGGCGUGUCCCCUAUAACCUGGGGUAGCCUCGGAAGAAGAAAAGGCUUGUGGUAGUGUGCGCAUAUGCCCCAAAUAACCCCGGGUAGCUUAGUCAGUCCCCUAACGUUGCGAGAGGAGCGUCAUGGAGGAAGUCUUCGCCGUCAUGAACUUACAACAACAACAACAACAACAACAACAACAGCCCCACGCUGCCGCUGCAACUCUUCAUGCUGACGAUGUUGACGAUCAGAUAAUGGGUCAAGCCGCAUUAGAAGUUGAAGCCAUGGAUAACACAUCCCAAGCUGAAGCCGUGGAUAACACAUCACAUCCCAGAAACGGAGCGGAUGUUGGUGGUGGUGAGGCGGGGGAUGUUCCAGAAACUCCCAAGUCUACCGGUGAACACAUCACGGGCGAGUCAUUGGGCAACAACAACCGCGGCGCGUUGGGAGGUGUCGGUAAAAUGGGGCGGCGCGUGCUGAGAGAGGGGCUUCUGCGACUUCUGAAGGAUGUGAUACCUCCAUUACCAGUGUCUCGUCUGAAGAACGACCCACCGGCCAGCGUAACGCAUAUCCACGGCAACAACAACAGACACGCUUCGGUGAUGGUGUGUCUUGACUCUCCGUCGGGCGCUGAAUCGCGAGAGCGGCGGCGAAGUCGUCUGCAGCAAAAAGAUCAUGAAAUGCGUCAAUCACGACUGGAAAAAAAAAUGCAGCAUAUGGCGGAAGUGUUGCGGCAGCUCCAGCAGCAGGGGCGUAGCGAGCAGCAGGAGACGCACCAGAGACGACAAGAUCGCGACCGGGGACAAGAACGGCGGCGAAGAAUGACAAAGAAUAAUUUGCCGAAGCAGCAAGAACACCGGGACCCAAGACUGUCUCAGAAGAGCCUCCAUAAAGUUGGGAGAAAAAAACUUCAGGUGGCCAAACGUGAGGCGGGUCUCUUCUCCUCAACAGCACACGGUCG